AUACGUAGGGGGCGAGCGUUGUCCGGAAUGAUUGGGCGUAAAGGGCGCGUAGGCGGCCCGGUAAGUCUGGAGUGAAAGUCCUGUUUUUAAGAUGGGAAUUGCUUUGGAUACUGUCGGGCUUGAGUGCAGGAGAGGUAAGUGGAAUUCCCAGUGUAGCGGUGAAAUGCGUAGAGAUUGGGAGGAACACCAGUGGCGAAGGCGACUUACUGGACUGUAACUGACGCUGAGGAGCGAAAGUGUGGGGAGCAAACAGGAUUAGAUACCCUGGUAGUCCACACUGUAAACGAUGAAUGCUAGGUGUAGGGGGUAGCGACCCCUUCUGUGCCGCAGUCAACACAAUAAGCAUUCCGCCUGGGGAGUACGGACGCAAGGUUGCAACUUAAAGGAAUUGACGGGG
rnacentral:rRNA from 1 species